rnacentral:rRNA from 1 species
UGCCAGACUCCUACGGGAGGCAGCAGUGGGGAAUAUUGCGCAAUGGGCGAAAGCCUGACGCAGCGACGCCGCGUGAGGGAUGAAGGUCUUCGGAUCGUAAACCUCUGUCAGCAGGGAAGAACGGUCACUGUGCUAAUCAGCAGUGAAUUGACGGUACCUGCAAAGGAAGCACCGGCUAACUCCGUGCCAGCAGCCGCGGUAAUACGGAGGAUGCGAGCGUUAUCCGGAUUUAUUGGGUUUAAAGGGUGCGUAGGCGGAACAUUAAGUCAGCGGUAAAAUCGAGGGGCUCAACCCCUUUAAGCCGUUGAAACUGGUGAUCUUGAGUGGGCGAGAAGUAUGCGGAAUGCGUGGUGUAGCGGUGAAAUGCAUAGAUAUCACGCAGAACUCCGAUUGCGAAGGCAGCAUACCGGCGCCCGACUGACGCUGAGGCACGAAAGCGUGGGGAUCGAACAGGAUUAGAUACCCGCGUACA